rnacentral:rRNA from 1 species
UGACUGCGGAGGAUCAUUAAGAGAUAGGGUCUUCAUGGCCCGACCUCCAACCCUCUGUUGUUAUAACUACCUUGUUGCUUUGGCGGGACCGUCUCGGUCUCCGAGCGCACUAACCCUCGGGUUGGUGAGCGCCCGCCAGAGUCCAACCAAACUCUUGUAUUAAACCAGUCGUCUGAGUAUAAAAUUUUAAUUAAAUUAAAACUUUCAACAACGGAUCUCUUGGUUCUCGCAUCGAUGAAGAACGCAGCGAAAUGCGAUAAGUAAUGUGAAUUGCAGAAUUCAGUGAAUCAUCGAAUCUUUGAACGCACAUUGCGCCCCUUGGUAUUCCGAGGGGCAUGCCUGUUCGAGCGUCAUUACACCACUCAAGCAUCGCUUGGUAUUGGGAACGGUCCGUCGAAAGGCGGGCCUUCCUCGAAGACCUCGGCGGGGUUCAACCAACUUCGGGCGUAGUAGAGUUAAAUCGAACGUCUUAUAAGCUUGGUCGGAUCUCAUUGCCGUUAAACCUUUAAAUUUUCUAGGUUGACCUCGGAUCUGGUAGGGAUACCCGCUGAACUUAA